CGAGUAACAAGUUACCACUUGUAACACUUGUACAGAUAAGUGUAAUAUAUUCGAUAGUGUAGUACGUGUGUAUACGUUGAAAUAUUAUACAAAUAAAGGAUCAGUCAGAACCAAUCUCAUUGGCUGACUURAAAUUAUAUAUUUAUUUUAUUCAUAACGAGUAAAUAAAUUAACUCGCGCAAGGAAAAGUUCGCUUAUGAAAACGUCUUGGAGAACAUUUGUAAAUAUUUAUUACAUUUGUUUCCACAGGAUACAACUGUUAACGCGGCUGCCCUUGUAUCAAAAAUGCGAACGCUUUUAAAGGCGUAUAAAACAGCGAAUGAGAAACAGACUGGAACUUCUCGGUGCACAAUACCGUAUAUGUCGGAAAUGGAUGAAAUUUUUGGUGAAAGUUGUUUAGUGUCUAACAACCACGCCAUAAACAUUGGGACAGAUCCUUAAAAGGCAUUCAUUGAGUCAAGUGUCAACUGAUUUUGAACCAAUUUCAUAAGCCAAAAUUAAAAAAAAAAGUUUGAAAUUUGACACUGUAUGUUGAUACAUAUUUUAUAAAAUAGCAAUGAAAUUAACGUUAAAUAAAUUUAAAAUUUGAGACAAUAAAGACAGGCGGUGCAGUGAAAAUAGCUUUAAAAUUAUGUCUUAUAAUAAAUUAAAUUACAAUAUAAAAUCGUGCUUAAUCCCAAUAAAUCGAAAUGAAUAUUGAGAAGAAAAGUAUGUGCUAUAUAA